rnacentral:rRNA from 1 species
GACGAACGCUGGCGGCGUGCCUAACACAUGCAAGUUGAGCGCUGAAGGUUGGUACUUGUAUCAACUGGGUGACCAGCGAAUGGGUGAUUAAUGCGUGGGGACCCGGCCUUUGAGCAGGAGGCCACAUUUGGAAACCUAUGCUAAUACACCAUAAGAACUUUAAAGAGAGGGUUUAAGGUUGAUAGAUGCAAUAGCAUCACUCAAAGAUGAUCCCGCGGUGUAUUGGGUAAGUGGCGAGGUAAAGGCUCACCCAGGCGAAGAUACAUAGCCGACCUUGGCGGGAGGUCGGCCACAUUGGGACUUGGACACGGCCCAAACCCCUUAGGGAAGCAGCAGUAGGGGAUCUUCGGCAAUGGAGGAAAGUCUGACUGAACACCGCCGCGGUAUGUGAGGAAGUUUUCGGAUCGGAAAACUCUGUUGGGAGGGAAGAACGGUGGGUAGGUUGGAAAGCUCCUCAAGUGACGGUACCUACAGAGUAAGCGACGGCUAACUACGUG